rnacentral:lncRNA from 1 species
CUACACUGGCUGAUAAAAGCAUACCACCGGGCACCCUCCUAGCCACCCACCCUCCACAUUCUACUUUCCUGAAUUUAAUAAAUUGGAGUGAAAAAUUGAAUUCUAAAUGCUACACCACAAUAAAGACAAAUCACUCAAGACAAAAUGAAAAUACAGAAAAUCAGAAAACCAAACCUAUUUAUUGAGGAUCUCAACUCUGCCUGCAUAACAGAACUAUCUAGGAUGCUGAAGCCCUGAUGGAAGAUGAAUAGAAACCGGACACUCCCACAGAGGGCUGGUUAGCUGGUGCACCAUCCCAUUUGCUCUUGGACUCUGCUCACUUCACCUCUCGGUGUGACUUUGCGAUGGCUGGAGCUGUGCCAGGCCUGCUACCCCUGGACACCUGAUGAUAUCAAGAGGACUAAGGGCCCCUGAAAUUUCAGAAAUGCUGAAUCCGUGGCAAAAGAGAUGUUAUUGGUGCCCUGAGUUCUUGUAAUCUCCAAGGAGAGAAAUCAAGAGGGAUCACCAGACAUAGCAGCCAAAAAGAAAGAGAAAAAUUUAUUUUAGCUUGUGUGCAAGGAAGUCAGCACUGCAAAAGGAAAAGGUGGGUUGCUCCCCAAGGGCAGUAUGUGGGUUAGUUUUACAGGGACUUUCUAUAGAAAAGGAUUUUGUCAGAGCCUGAAUAGGAGGGGUUUGUCUAGAGCUUGUGCAGUGGUUUUACAUGCUUCU